UUGAGAAGAUAUGGCUCUACCUUGAAGGAUACAGAAAUACGUGAUCUUAUGGAUGCAGUAAGAUGUUUGUCAAAGCAGAUAUUUGUUUAUAACGGUUCAUCUUAACAAAUUAGAACGAGAGGAACAUCUUGUUGCAGCAUUCCAAUACUUUGAUAAGGAUGGAAGUGGCUAUAUCACAGUUGAUGAGCUUCAGCAAGCAUGCGCAGAACAUAACAUGACUGAUGUUUUACUUGAAGAUAUAAUCAGAGAAGUUGAUCA
rnacentral:misc_RNA from 1 species